rnacentral:rRNA from 1 species
GACGAACGCUGGCGGCGUGCUUAAUACAUGCAAGUCGAACGGAAAGGCCCUGCUUUUGUGGGGUGCUCGAGUGGCGAACGGGUGAGUAACACGAGAGUAACCUGCCCCUGACUCUGGGAUAACUUCAGGAAACUGGGGCUAAUACCGGAUAGGCGCACCAGCUGCAUGGUGGGGGUUGGAAAGUUUCGGCGGUCGGGGAUGGCCUCUCGGCUUAUCAGCUUGUGGGUGGAGUAGUGGCUUACCAAGGGAUUGACGGGUAGCCGGCCUGAGAGGGUGACCGGCCACAUUGGGACUGAGAGACGGCCCAGACUCCUACGGGAGGCAGCGGUGGGGAAUAUUGCACAAUAGGCGGAAGCCUGAUGCAACAACGCCGCGUGCGGGAUGACGGCCUUCGGGUGAUAAACCGCUUUCGCCUGUGACGAAGCGUGAGUGACGGUAAUGAGUAAAGAAGCACCGGCUAACUACGUG